UACAGAGGGUGCGAGCGUUAAUCGGAAUUACUGAGCGUAAAGCGUGCGUAGACGGUUAUUUAAGUCGGGUGUGAAAGCCCCAGGCUCAACCUGGGAAUUGCAUUCGAGACUGAAUAGCUAGGGUACGGUAGAGGGAAGCGGAAUUUCCGGUGUAGCGGUGAAAUGCGUAGAUAUCGGAAGGAACAUCAGUGGCGAAAGCGGCUUCCUGGACCAGUACCGACGUUCAGGCACGAAAGCGUGGGGAGCAAACAGG
rnacentral:rRNA from 1 species